rnacentral:tRNA from 1 species
GUGGUAGUAGCUCAGUUGGUUAGAGCGCCGCUCUGUGGAAGCGGAGGUCGGGGGUUCGAGUCUCCUCUACCACC